AUACGGAGGGUGCAAGCGUUAUUCGGAAUCACUGGGCGUAAAGGGUGCGUAGGCGGUUUGAUAAGUCUGAUGUGAAAUCCUAUGGCUCAACCAUAGAACUGCAUUGGAAACUGUCAGACUAGAAUACUCAAGGGGCAGAUGGAAUUAGUGGUGUAGGGGUAAAAUCCGUAGAUAUCACUAGGAAUACCGAAAGCGAAAGCGAUCUGCUGGGAAGUUAUUGACGCUGAGGCACGAAAGCGUGGGGAGCAAACGGUAUUAGAAACCCCUGUAGUCC
rnacentral:rRNA from 1 species